AACGAACGCUGGCGGCAGGCUUAGCACAUGCAAGUCGAGCGCCCCGCAAGGGGAGCGGCAGACGGGUGAGUAACGAGUGGGAAUCUACCCAUCUCUACGGAAUAACGCAUGGAAACGUGUGCUAAUACCGUAUACGUCCUUCGGGAGAAAGAUUUAUCGGAGAUGGAUGAGCCCGCUUUGGAUUAGCUAGUUAGUGGGGUAAAGGCCUACCAAGGCGACGAUCCAUAGCUGGUCUGAGAGGAUGAUCAGCCACACUGGGACUGAGACACGGCCCAGACUCCUACGGGAGGCAGCAGUGGGGAAUAUUGGACAAUGGGCGCAAGCCUGAUCCAGCCAUGCCGCGUGAGUGAUAAAGGCCCUAGGGUUGUAAAGCUCUUUCACCGGUGAAGAUAAUGACGGUAACCGGAGAAGAAGCCCCGGCUAACUUCGUGCCAGCAGCCGCCGUAAAAC
rnacentral:rRNA from 1 species